UUUUGUGACUGAGUGGCGGACGGGUGAGUAACGCGUGGGUAACCUGCCUUGUACAGGGGGAUAACAGUUGGAAACGGCUGCUAAUACCGCAUAAGCGCACAGCAUCGCAUGAUGCAGUGUGAAAAACUCCGGUGGUAUAAGAUGGACCCGCGUUGGAUUAGCUAGUUGGUGAGGUAACGGCCCACCAAGGCGACGAUCCAUAGCCGACCUGAGAGGGUGACCGGCCACAUUGGGACUGAGACACGGCCCAAACUCCUACGGGAGGCAGCAGUGGGGAAUAUUGCACAAUGGGCGAAACCCUGAUGCAGCGACGCCGCGUGGAGGAAGAAGGUUUUCGGAUUGUAAACUCCUGUCGUUAGGGACGAUAAUGACGGUACCUAACAAGAAAGCACCGGCUAACUACGUGCCAGCAGCCGCGGUAAAACGUAGGGUGCAAGCGUUGUCCGGAAUUACUGGGUGUAAAGGGAGCGCAGGCGGACCGGCAAGUUGGAAGUGAAAACUAUGGGCUCAACCCAUAAAUUGCUUUCAAAACUGCUGGCCUUGAGUAGUGCAGAGGUAGGUGGAAUUCCCGGUGUAGCGGUGGAAUGCGUAGAUAUCGGGAGGAACACCAGUGGCGAAGGCGACCUACUGGGCACCAACUGACGCUGAGGCUCGAAAGCAUGGGUAGCAAACAGGAUUAGAUACCCUGGUAGUCCAUGCCGUAAACGAUGAUUACUAGGUGUUGGAGGAUUGACCCCUUCAGUGCCGCAGUUAACACAAUAAGUAAUCCACCUGGGGAGUACGACCGCAAGGUUGAAACUCAAAGGAAUUGACGGGGGCCCGCACAAGCAGUGGAGUAUGUGGUUUAAUUCGAAGCAACGCGAAGAACCUUACCAGGUCUUGACAUCCGAUGCAUAGUGCAGAGAUGCAUGAAGUCCUUCGGGACAUCGAGACAGGUGGUGCAUGGUUGUCGUCAGCUCGUGUCGUGAGAUGUUGGGUUAAGUCCCGCAACGAGCGCAACCCUUAUUGCCAGUUACUACGAAAGAGGACUCUGGCGAGACUGCCGUUGACAAAACGGAGGAAGGUGGGGAUGACGUCAAAUCAUCAUGCCCCUUAUGAUUUGGGCUACACACGUGCUACAAUGGCGUAAACAAAGGGAAGCGAACCCGCGAGGGUGGGCAAAUCUCAAAAAUAACGUCCCAGUUCGGACUGCAGGCUGCAACUCGCCUGCACGAAGUCGGAAUUGCUAGUAAUCGUGGAUCAGCAUGCCGCGGUGAAUACGUUCCCGGGCCUUGUACUCACCGCCCGUCA
rnacentral:rRNA from 1 species